GUAUAUUGGGGCUUAUGUACUUUUUAUGGGACUGGUGCUGGCCCUUUAAGCACCUUUUUGGGGCAUAGGGAAAAUUGGGACACUGCCACUUUAAGACGGUGUCCCCAGACUUUAAGACGGUGUCCCCAGACUUGUUUGGGACACUGUGUCCCCAGACUUGUUUGGGACACUGCCCCUUUAAGACGGUGUCCCCUGUGUCCC